ensembl:lncRNA
AGUUGUUGGGUGGAAUGAGAAGGGAGGAGGGAGUCCUGGGGAGGGGCCGAGGCCGUUGAGGUGGCAUGAAAGGGUGCUCUGGGGACUCAGGUUAGUGGCUCUUUAACAACUGGUGUGGAGUCAUCUCAAUAUUUUAACAUAGGCUGGCUUUCCAGGUGUGUGCAGGGUGAUGAUUAGCUCUACCUGCCACCCAUCACAGAACUCAGAGUUUCACCACUUCCUUCUCCAUUUUCUUUAGCUGUCAGCAUAUAGUUAAUGGGCAACAACACAGCUCUCCAUCCAGUUCUGGGAAAUAAUAAUCAUGGUUAAUAGUUACUGAGAACUGAUGAUUUCAUUUCAUCUUCAUACCAACGCUUGGGGUAGGCACCAUUUUAAAAGCGAUUGGAGACAGGUUAAACAACUUGCCCUCAAUCAAUGGUUGGGAAGUGAAAGAACCAAGCUUCAAACCCAGGUCUGUCUGGGUCUUGAGCCAAGCUCCAAGUCUGUGUCACAUUGCCCAGGACUCGGCUGCCAAUUCUCCCGACCUCCUCGUCCCUCACUGCUGCAUCAGCAAAUCCAGGGCUCAUGGCAGGAAGAGCAGAGAAGAGCAAAGGUUUUGGUCUGAAGCCUCUUUUCCAUUGCCAUCCAGACAGUUUGAAUAUCACCUUUGAUUUCUUCAAUUUUAAAGACCCAUUUUUGACUAGUAAUGUGGAACGCGAAGGUAGAAAUAACCGAAGGCAUCAGAGGAGAGAGAAGUGGAGAUGGAACUUUCCAGGCCUGGGAGAACCAGAGGCUCCAUGGCCUAUUGAGAAACUUCUUCACCUGUCCUGCUCACCUGGAGCUCUACCAACUGCUGAGACCGUUGCUGGUCACUUCCUUGUCCCUACUCAGUCAGCCAGUUGGGGUCUUGGUUUGGAUUCUUUGCUCCUAGCACUCACACUCCAUCCACCCCUCACUCUCUGGACCAUGUCCGGGCUGAGACCUCACGUGGGCUCACAUUCUUACGUCUCCCUGGCCCUAGAAGCUGCUCAUCUUCUGGAACUUUAAUACAUUGUUCGACUCUAGUCCUGCUUGAGAUUCCUUUGAAUAAUUCUUAAUUAUACUUCAGGGCUGGCUCUACACAGCAGACCACAUGAAUAAGAAUUCUUUCUAAGGUUGCAUUGGUCUGUGAGAAGGCAGGAAAAAUGCCUCAGGAUGAUUGAAAUGGUUGUUCUGAAAUGAUGGAUGAUAUUGUGUGGCUUAAGCUUCCCAUAACCCUGAUGGGCUCAACUGGGGGAGGGGCAGCGAGAGAUGUGGGGAGAGUCCCAUACACGCCAUUUCUCCUCUGGCUUCUCCUAACACUAGCCCCACCCCAGAACCCAGGACUCUGACUGCCCAUCUUGUGAUAUAGAAGCUUCUGGGGGCAGGAGUGACUGUGGAAACUGGAGGUUGUUCCUGGACUAUUUCACAACACUUGUCUCCAGGAAAAAGAAAAAAAAAAAAAAGCCUCAUUCUCUUGAUCCCCAGUGUUACAUAACCUAACAUUUCCCUUGCUGGUUGAAAUGAAUAUCCUUUGCCUGAAUAAAUAGGACACAAACUGUUUGGGGCGGGCUGCUUCCUCUGCUCCAGCGUUUCUGAGGGAUCCGGCCACUUCGGUGGGGUUAGUGGUGGCCCACAGCUCGGCUUGGCCCGGGUCUUCCUGCAGGGCUCCUUCUUGGAGCGUGCAUUCUGCCAAAACACGUUUUAAGUGUGUCAACAAGUAGCAAACAGUGACCCACCUGUGGCAGUUGCGGUGACUCUGGAAGACGGGCUCCCCCUGAGGCGCUGGGGCGUCUGCAGCUGGAAAUCUGCUGUUGCUCCUUCCACACAUCUCCUAAGUGCAGAAACACCGCCCAAAGCCCUGAAAUGGAAAGGUUAAAAAAUCCAGAGUCAUAAACACUCACAGGAGUAUCAACUGUCGGCUCUGCCUUUAUAGGAAAACCGUUUACUUGGUAACGUGGUGUUGAACCCUCAUGUCCUGGCAUACGUUUUUGAUUUUCAUGUGGAGCGUUUGAUAAUUUCCCGAAGCCCAAAUGACUCAUUCCAUAGCCUGUCAUUUGAACUGUUCACACCUUUGUCUUCAUUCUCUUUCCUGUGUUUUCCUGUUGGAGAAAAAUGAAUAGCACCCUUGGCUUGUCCAGCAGAGGCAGACCCUAUUCCAUGCUCUCAGAUGACUUUCCCAUCUUUCAUUUCCGCAGAGGUGAAGCUUUCAUGGUGUGAAGGGAAGGAUGGAACUGGUGAGGUCCUGGUGUUACUCAUUCUGAGCUCCAGGGGCUGCUUCAUAUCACAACUGGAAAGAGACUAUCUUUAUUCCUGUAAGCUUCAACUAGGGAGCUUCAAUGUUGCGCAAAUGACAGCAGAGAGAGUCAUCAGGUCAAGCCUAUCCAGCAAGAAGCCAAGUGGAGAGUUGAGCAAUUAUCUGAAGUGGGCAGUGAGACGGCCAAAACCAGAUAAUACUUAACCAGAAAGUCAUCGUGGAGGGAAAAAGUGGACUGAAAAUAGAAGGGAUGGGGUAAAAUGUCAAACAAUUUGGUCAGUGUCCACAGUCCAAAUUCACUGGAUAACAGCCAAUUCCUUGCUUCAUGUAAUUAUUUAGAACGAGUCUAAAAGACUGAGGUUUUAAAAAAAGAAGAUGAAUUUGUUACCAAGGUUGUUGCAUGUUUGUGCAAAACUUUUUCAUAUCCGUAGGACUAUCUGUGACAUGUCUAAUUCUGAAUAUUUCCAGGAUAUUUUAGAUUGGUGGGUCAAGUUUGUUGAGGAAGCCCAUAUUAUCUGUAGACUUACAUGGAGAAAAACUUUCUUUUAUGGAUUAUUUGAGUGUUAUAUUUAAUUCGCCUUUCUCCCCCCAUAGCAUAUUGCUUAGGAAUUUUCCAUUGAAAACUCCUGGUUCUCUGUUACUUUAUCAUUUCCUCAUGUGGCAAUUUCAGUAUCCCCUUGAUUUUAGUAGAACCUAUCAAUGAAGUAUAUAAGUCUACUAGAAUGGGAUUUGCAUUACUUUUGGUUAAAAAAAACCCCACCAAAGUCUCAGAUCAAUGUGGUGUUUUUUUCCCUUCUAUUUGGUAUAAAAACCAUAAACUAAUUACUCUGAACAGAUGUUUCCUAGACCUAAAAUAUAGUUAUCAGCCCACUGGCCUCUAUAAAUCCAUCGCUGUAUACCUGGUAAUCCUGAAGACUCCUUAGUGCCAUGUUAAACCUUCCAUUUGUUGAUUUUUUAUUGAGAAAAAGUUCAUAAAUUAGGUUCACUGCUGCUUGGAAUUAAGAAGAAAACACAGCCAUGUUAGUAUUUCAGAUGGGAAAACCAAAGUUAAAAACAAGUAUUUUUUUUCACUCUAUCAUGUCUUGAACAUUUGAAGCCAUUACAUAGCAUCUUAGAAACAACAACAACAAAAUAACCCAGGGCUACAUUUUUCAGUAGCUUUGGCUGAUGUUUGAAAUCCACAGUGAAAAUUGCCCAUGGAAUAUUCUGGAAGGACUCCAAGGGAGUCUAUUGGAAUAUCUUACAAUAAAGUAAAAAUUCAAGAAGAAUUUUACAUGCAAGUAAGGAUUAAGAAAUUUGUUUUAUAAGUCACGGGAUAAAGGUAUGUAUUAAGUGACAUUGCUAAAUUCUUCCCUUGUGCUGUACAGUGACUGCUUUCCCCAUCAUAUGGUCAUGUCUGAAUCUCUGUGGGAAACCCAUCCCACACAGCCACAGCAGGUGUAACUCUUCUGCCGAAUACGUGAUUGGACAUACUGUGGGCCAGGACCUUUUGCUCUAAUGGUAAAAUUGACCUACAGAAAUGGAAGUCAUUCUAUGGACCUGAGUUGAUAGAAUGGAUGGUGGCCUGUGCAUUCUGCAUAAAUGCUUGCUAAUGGCAUCAAUGGUAAAUGGUUUAUGCCCUACUUUGCUUUGUAAAAGACUAUGAUCAUGGAAUUUGAGCUGAAUAGACGAGCAAAAGAUUGAUUCUUCAGUGUCUACUGAUAAGUAAGCUUGUUUUAUCUUCAACCAUCUUGUUUCAUUUAAGUGAGGAAUCAAACCAGCUUUAAUUAAGGAAAUCUUUAGAAAUCACCCAUGCCAUCUUUUUACUCCCUGUUAAAAACAAAACGAAGAAGAAAACUAGAAAGACUUCAGCACAAAAACAUCUGCAUGUUGUCCAGGACCGUAGGACCGAAUCUUAGCACAACUCUUUUUGAGGAAGGAUACAGAUAUUAAUCUGAAUUUUGAAUCACGGCUGAGGGAUGUGUGAACAAGUUAGUUUCCUCUUUUCUCCCUCCUGACUUCUUCCAUGAAUACGUAAGACCUAAUUUGGCCAUUCAGUUUGGAGAAUGAUUUUUUUCAUUUAAUUUCUUUGAUUAUCAAGCGUGUAUUGCUAGGGGCUUAGCAGUACUCCUGGUGUUUGAACACCCCGUGUGUGUUUCUUGAGUUGAAGUGAGGGA